rnacentral:rRNA from 1 species
GACGAACGCUGGCGGCGUGCUUAACACAUGCAAGUCGAACGGUAAGGCCCUUUCGGGGGUACACGAGUGGCGAACGGGUGAGUAACACGUGGGUGAUCUGCCCUGCACUUUGGGAUAAGCCUGGGAAACUGGGUUUAAUACCGGAUAGGACUACGCGAUGCAUGUCGUGUGGUGGAAAGCUUUUGCGGUGUGGGAUGGGCCCGCGGCCUAUCAGCUUGUUGGUGGGGUGAUGGCCUACCAAGGCGACGACGGGUAGCCGGCCUGAGAGGGUGUCCGGCCACACUGGGACUGAGAUACGGCCCAGACUCCUACGGGAGGCAGCAGUGGGGAAUAUUGCACAAUGGGCGCAAGCCUGAUGCAGCGACGCCGCGUGGGGGAUGACGGCCUUCGGGUUGUAAACCCCUUUCAGCACAGACGAAGCGUAAGUGACGGUAUGUGCAGAAGAAGCACCGGCCAACUACGUG